GUUGCUUCGGCGGGUAGGGUCUCCGCGACCCUCCCGGCCUCCCGCCUCCGGGCGGGUCGGCGCCCGCCGGAGGAUAACCAAACUCUGAUUUAACGACGUUUCUUCUGAGUGGUACAAGCAAAUAAUCAAAACUUUUAACAACGGAUCUCUUGGUUCUGGCAUCGAUGAAGAACGCAGCGAAAUGCGAUAAGUAAUGUGAAUUGCAGAAUUCAGUGAAUCAUCGAAUCUUUGAACGCACAUUGCGCCCGCCAGCAUUCUGGCGGGCAUGCCUGUUCGAGCGUCAUUUCAACCCUCAAGCUCUGCUUGGUGUUGGGGCCCUACAGCUGAUGUAGGCCCUCAAAGGUAGUGGCGGACCCUCUCGGAGCCUCCUUUGCGUAGUAACUUUACGUCUCGCACUGGGAUCCGGAGGGACUCUUGCCGUAAAACCCCCAAUUUUCCAAAGGUUGACCUCGGAUCAGGUAGGAAUACCCGCUG
rnacentral:rRNA from 1 species